CAGGCCUAACACAUGCAAGUCGAACGGACGAUCGGAGCUUGCUCCGAAAGUUAGUGGCGGACGGGUGAGUAACACGUGAGCAACCUGCCUUUCAGAGGGGGACAACAGUUGGAAACGACUGCUAAUACCGCAUAACGUCAUUGAGCGGCAUCGCUUGAUGACCAAAGAUUUAUCGCUGAAAGAUGGGCUCGCGUCUGAUUAGAUAGUUGGUGAGGUAACGGCCCACCAAGUCGACGAUCAGUAGCCGGACUGAGAGGUUGAACGGCCACAUUGGGACUGAGACACGGCCCAGACUCCUACGGGAGGCAGCAGUGGGGGAUAUUGGACAAUGGGGGGAACCCUGAUCCAGCGACGCCGCGUGAGGGAAGAAGGUUUUCGGAUUGUAAACCUCUGUUGACGGGGAAGAAAAUGACAGUACCCGUUUAGAAAGCCACGGCUAACUACGUGCCAGCAGCCGCGGUAAUACGUAGGUGGCAAGCGUUGUCCGGAAUUACUGGGUGUAAAGGGAGCGUAGGCGGGGCGGCAAGUUAGAAGUGAAAAUCAUGGGCUCAACUCAUGACCUGCUUUUGAAACUGUUGCUCUUGAGUGAAGUAGAGGCAAGCGGAAUUCGUUGUGUAGCGGUGAAAUGCUUAGAUAUGACGAAGAACUCCGAUUGCGAAGGCAGCUGGCUGUAGCGUUACUGACGCUGAAGCUCGAAAGCGUGGGUAUCGAACAGGAUUAGAUACCCUGGUAGUCCACGCGGUAAACGAUGGAUGCUCGCUGUGUGCCUUAUGAGGUACGUGGCCAAGCGAAAGCAUUAAGCAUCCCACCUGGGGAGUACGCCGGCAACGGUGAAACUCAAAGGAAUUGACGGGGGCCCGCACAAGCGGAGGAACAUGUGGUUUAAUUCGAUGAUACGCGAGGAACCUUACCCGGGCUCAAACGCGCGAGGACAGCGGCGGGGACGCCGCCUCCCUCCGGGGUCUCGUGCGAGGUGCUGCAUGGUUGUCGUCAGCUCGCGCCGUGAGGUGUCGGCUUAAGUGCCAUAACGAGCGCAACCCCCAUCUCCAGUUGCCACCGCGUUGUGGCGGGCACUCUGGCGAGACUGCCGGCGCAAGCUGUGAGGAAGGCGGGGAUGACGUCAAAUCAGCACGGCCCUUAUGUCCGGGGCUACACACGUGUUACAAUGGCGGGGCACAGAAGGAAGCCAGGCUGCGAGGCCGAGCCGAUCCCGAAAACCCGUCUCAGUUCGGAUCGGAGUCUGCAACCCGACUCCGUGAAGCUGGAUUCGCUAGUAAUCGCGCAUCAGCCAUGGCGCGGUGAAUACGUUCCCGG
rnacentral:rRNA from 1 species